CCCACCCUGGAGGUAUGAGGAUCCGCGCAAUGCGGUUCGGAGGCGGCCGCGGCGCCCCAGAGGUGAAAGCGGAGGCGCCAGGACGCCGGUGCCGGCCUCUCAGGAUGCUAGGCGGCCACACACGAGAUGAGGAAACUGAGGCCCAGAGAGAUCACACAGCUACUAAGUCAAGGAGCUGGGACAGGCGUGGGUGCUGAAAAGUGAUUGAUACUGAUAGUAAAAUUGAGGAAGACAUGAUGUUUUUGUAAUUUGAGAAAAAUCACUGAAGAAUAAACUAUAUGAAGUCAUUGAUGCCAAAUUCCCAGCCCCAGCCUUUGCAGCUGCCCCGCCUGGGGUUCGUCUCUAUGGGAAGGAGUCUUUGCCGUGGACAGAGGCCGUGAUGACGAAGGUCAGGCUUAGAGAUCCAGGAAGUUGAGACAUGGAAAGCAGGAGUGGAGCAAGGAGAUUCUGGAAGAGCUGCUAUUUUAUUGCCUUGACGUGUGGAUGAACUGCUUAACCUCUCUACAAUGGGUGGCAAAAAUCAUGACAUUUCACACACUCCGCCCCAGUGGAACCCAUCUUCCUCUGCUGUCUAACUGAAGAACUAGCAAUGCCUUCCAAAGCUAAAGGAAACUCCAGCUCCAUGCAACAGAUGGUGCCAAGUGAUAGAAAGAAAACAGUGGGAAGAAUACCUGGUAUAUAGCAGAAAACUGGAGCUUCAACAUGGUGGCAUACAGAGAUAAAAGAAGCUGAAGGGAGUAGACAAAUAAAAAGGUAAACCCUUUUCCUUUUGUAUUAGGUUUUGUAGAAAUGAUUUUGAAGAUUUUUUUUUUUUUGCUUCUCUUUGCUCUAUACUUUGUAUAGUCAAAGCCAAGCCAUGUUUGAAAUGUUCCCUAGAAACACACGCAUGUGACUAAAAUAGAUUCCCUGCAGAUUUACCUAAUUUUAGUGAGGGCCUGUUACAUACAAUGAACUCUGCUGGGCAAUUUCACUUACAUUUUCUCAGAUGAAGAAGUUAGACCAUAAAUGUGGUAGGGUUGGCAAAGACAUGGUGAAUGGGUAAGAACGUUUCAGGACCAUGACUGAAUGAACAUGUAUCUCCUCCUCACACCUGACCCUGGGGAAGACUCUGUG
rnacentral:lncRNA from 1 species